AACGAACGCUGGCGGCAUGCCUAACACAUGCAAGUCGAACGAGACCUUCGGGUCUAGUGGCGCACGGGUGCGUAACGCGUGGGAACCUGCCCUUAGGUUCGGAAUAACUCCCCGAAAGGGGUGCUAAUACCGGAUAAUGUCUUCGGACCAAAGAUUUAUCGCCUUUGGAUGGGCCCGCGUUGGAUUAGCUAGUUGGUAGGGUAAAAGCCUACCAAGGCGACGAUCCAUAGCUGGUCUGAGAGGAUGAUCAGCCACACUGGGACUGAGACACGGCCCAGACUCCCCCGGGAGGCAGCAGUGGGGAAUUUUGGAAAAGGGGCGAAAGCCUGAUCCAGCAAUGCCGGGGGAGUGAUGAAGGCCUUAGGGUUGUAAAGCUCUUUUCCCCGGGAUGAUAAUGACAGUACCGGGAGAAUAAGCCCCGGCUAACUCCGG
rnacentral:rRNA from 1 species